CUUCUGCCUCAAGCUUUUCCAAUUAACUUUAUUUUUUUAUGAUUUUUACUUUUUCUGUUACAGUUGAUUUACACUGUUUUCUCAAUUUCUACUGUACAGCCAAUUAACUUUAAAUUCAAACUCCUUCCUCCUAGGCACUUUCUCCCUGCCACCCCUCUUUAUGGGCAGAAAAUAAUGCCAAUACUCACCAGUUCUUUAUGAAUUUACAUUUAUCAAAAUGAAAAGUUUUUAUUAGAAAAUAAUUGCUUUCAUACAUCCUUAUAAAGUAUGAAGAGUUCCUUCAGGGUGCAGUGAGUUAAGGAUCUGGUCUUGUGGCUCAGGUUGCAGCUGUGGUGCUGGUUCCAUCCCUGGCCAUGGAACUUCCACAUGCCACUGGUGCAGCCCCAAAAAAUAAAAACAAAACAAAACAAAACAAAAAAACGGAGACAUAAAAAUUAGAAAUUAAAAAUUUUAAAAUUAUACAUGGCUUGGGGGCUACCUGAAGUAACUAUUAUCAUUCUAAUGUAUAGUCUUUCAGAAUUUUUUCUCAUAUUCCUUUAAGAAAGUGGAACCACAUUGGAAAGAACAUUUUAACUUAAAAAUAUUAAAAGGAAAUACAUCUAUAUCAAUAUGCAAAAACAUACAUCAAAAUUUAAUGCCUGGGAUGAGAAACACCUGGGUGCCCUCUCAGACUAGUCUGUAAGCCAUCUGGCACAUGCAACCUAUUAAGCAAAUCCCAGUCUUGCCUGAAGCCUCUCCCAGUGUCCAAGCCAGAGUCAUAGUGAGGUAGUCCCUCAUCCCAGGAGCCCACCAGGUGUUGGAACUGAAGACCAUGAUCUGGCUAAAAACCUGCAGGUGUGGUUUGGCGUGAGGCCAGCACGGGGGAGUGAAAUGCGUGUGCGCAAGGGACACAGUCUUCUUUCAGGAGGCAGAAAGCCCAGGGUCAGCAAUGCCAGCUUCUGACUUGAUUCUUGGCACCACUCUGAGGUUUGCCAAAGUCCUAGGCCACAGCAACCCAAACACCAUGUUCCACUGAUUCCCUCAGGGCCGUUCCUCCUGACAGCAGUGAGGGGUCUAGAAUUCAUCUCACAAGGUGGUCUCUGCCUAUUCCUAUGGCCUUUCCUCUGAGGAAUAAACAGCCUCAGGUACAUAUGUAAUGGAGGAACUCGAGAUUUUUGGAGAAAUUACUGAUUUUGAGACCAUGACAGGAAACCUGUAAGAUAAGCCUGGAGAAUCCUGUAAUACCAAAGGAAGAUUGAUUCCAGUGGCUCUGGGUCUGUUUCUGUGUAAUUCAUUCAGCCAUGCCCCCUUUCUUUGGACUUCACCUCCAGGCGAGUUUACGUCUUGAUGACAGAUUGUAUGUAGACUGUGCCUGAAAUAAUAUCGAUAUGCCAUGAUAUACAGAGGGGGAAGCAUUGCCAAUUUUGUGAUCUCCUUUAAAAUAUAGGAUCUAUAUUUCCCAGAAAUACCCAGAAAAUCACUUCUUUUGACUCACUGUCCCCAAAUAAGUCAUACAUUCGUCCCUCAACAGACCUCUGGAAUUAGAUGUUGCCAAGGAUGGGGAUGAAAACAGUAGAGGCAUACAGCUAAAAUUGUGGUGCCCUUAGAAAAUGGAAACAAAAUCAAG